AUUAGUUAAAUUCAUGCAUAAAUUGGGAAAACUCCCAUUGGCUGUUGCAUCACUCAUUGCGCACAUGAUGUUGCGGGGCGGAGCUACGUCAUCAGCAGCAGAGUCUCUAUAAUCUCCCUGCUGCUAAGACUUCUCAUGCAACAUCGAUGCAAUGUAUUCUAACCAGCCUUUUGGUCGUGUUUGUCCCAGUUUUGUCUGUCAGGCCCAGUAAAGCAUCCUUGAGUGACCAUCCACCUGAUCUCAGUGUGAAUUACUCCAACACACACAGUCACAUUGGUGCCGUGACCUGUUGUUCCUUCAAUCAAGAUGGUUCCUGAAGUGGCCGAGGGUUCAUCUUAAAGUUUUCGCUGGAGUCGGGUGGACACAAUCUUGUACAGAAACUGUGGUAAUUUUUUAUUAUUUUUUUUUCCAAAAAGAAUACGAGAUGCCUUC